AAAACUGCUUUCUGAAAUUCCUCUAGCCUUCCUCGUCAAAAAAAUACCGAAAUCCCAAACCCCAACUUCUCUAAAACCAAUUUCAUAAAAAUUUCUCUCAAAACUUGUUACUUGCGGGGAACACUAAAUCCUUACACUCUUCUAUCAAUGUCUUCUUCAUGAGUGGAAUUCCACUGUUUUGCAUGUUGCUUUGAUUUCCCUUGAGUUCCAACAGCAUGUUGCGGGCGAGGAGAUUGCUGCAAAGUUAUAAAAUAAAGAGAAUGGAUGCAAAUAUCCUUCACAAGAACCAAGAAAGCUCUCUGGGCUCAAGAAUCGCAGGAAAUUGCAUACAGAUUUCGUCUUUUCAAGGAGCCACUGAUUUUUGUGCUGCAAGAAAGUCUAAGUUUUACCUCUGAUUUUAAGGAUAAAAGGAAUUUGAAAAGUUUAGAAAUCUAUCUAAAAGUUACGUUCGGGUUUAAGGAAAGAUUUUGUGUAUGAUUUUUGAAAGAUAUUUCUGGAUUUUUUUUUUUUUGCAAAGAUUAAAAUAGAAGAAAUUAUGGUUGAAUGUUUUUUGCAAAUAUUGAAAUAGAAUUUUUGGUUUUUCUCUUUGUUGUUUAAAGAUAAACUUGAAGAACAAGAAAGAAAAAAAAGGGAAAAAAACGGA